GGUAAAGAUGGCCUCUGAUUCAAGCUAUUGUCAUCGGAUGAGUCCGCGUCCCAUUAGCUAGUUGGUGGGGUAAAGGCCUACCAAGGCGACGAUGGGUAGCUGGUCUGAGAGGAUGAUCAGCCACACUGGGACUGGAACACGGCCCAGACUCCUACGGGAGGCAGCAGUGGGGAAUAUUGGGCAAUGGGCGCAAGCCUGACCCAGCGACGCCGCGUGAGGGAAGAAGGUUUUCGGAUCGUAAACCUCUGUCAGGAGGGAAGAAGUGCCAUGAUUCGAAUAGAGUCAUGGUUUGACGGUACCUCCAAAGGAAGCACCGGCUAACUCCGUGCCAGCAGCCGCGGUAACACGGAGGGUGCNAGCGUUAUUCGGAAUUACUGGGCGUAAAGCGCGCGUAGCGGCUGUGCAAGUCAGAUGUGAAAGCCCUCGGCUCAACCGAGGAAUAGCAUUGAAACUGNNGGCUAGAGUUCGGGAGAGGGUGGCGGAAUUCCCGGUGUAGGAGUGAAAUCCGUAGAUAUCGGGAGGAACACCAGAGGCGAAGGCGGCCACCNGGACCGAAACUGACGCUGAGGUGCGAAAGCGUGGGUAGCAAACAGGAUUAGAUACCCUGGUAGUCCACGCCGUAAACGAUGGAUGCUAGAUGUAGGGUGUGUAUAACGCUCUGUGUCGUAGUUAACGCGUUAAGCNUCCCGCCUGGGGAGUACGGUCGCAAGGCUGAAACUCAAAGAAAUUGACGGGGGCCCGCACAAGCGGUGGAGUAUGUGGUUUAAUUCGAUGCAACGCGAAGAACCUUACCUGGACUUGACAUCUCCGGGACCCACUGGAGACAGUGGGGUGCCCUUCGGGGAACCGGAAGACAGGUGCUGCAUGGCUGUCGUCAGCUCGUGCCGUGAGGUGUUGGGUUAAGUCCCGCAACGAGCGCAACCCCUGUUCAUAGUUGCCNUCAGGUGAAGCUGGGCACUCUAUGGAGACUGCCGAGGUGAACUCGGAGGAAGGUGGGGACGACGUCAAGUCAUCAUGGCCCUUACGUCCAGGGCUACACACGUACUACAAUGGUGGGCACAAAGGGCAGCGAGACCGCGAGGUUCAGCCAAUCCCAGAAAGCCUACCUCAGUUCAGAUUGCAGUCUGCAACUCGACUGCAUGAAGGAGGAAUCGCUAGUAAUCGUGGAUCAGCAUGCCACGGUGAAUACGUUCCCGGGCCUUGUACACACCGCCCGUCACACCACGAAAGCUGGUUCUACCCGAAGCCGCUGAGCUA
rnacentral:rRNA from 1 species